rnacentral:rRNA from 1 species
UCGGAUAACACCUGGAAACAGAUGCUAAUACCGGAUAACAACAGAUGAUGCCUAUCAACUGUUUAAAAAGAUGGUUCUGCUAUCACUCUUGGAUGGACCUGCGGUGCAUUAGCUAGUUGGUAGGGUAACGGCCUACCAAGGCGAUGAUGCAUAGCCGAGUUGAGAGACUGAUCGGCCACAUUGGGACUGAGACACGGCCCAAACUCCUACGGGAGGCAGCAGCA